ACACACACACACACACACACACACACACACACACACACACACACUCAUUGUGAGAAGUUGAAGUAUGUUGUGAUUAUGCACUUUCACGGGUGCUGGGCAUUGGCAUGAAUGAAAGACACAAGGUGAAUCAUACUUUCUUUCGUUGGUUUGAACGAUGUUUCCACCCAGCCAAGUUACUGUUCUUGGAAGCCUGUGCUGUUUGGCGUUACAGCUCUGCUUGUAAUACAGCUUAAACAUACAUCUUGUCUGGUGUUAUGCUAAGUACCUGUAUUGACUAUAACCAAACCAAACCUUAGAAUCGGAAAAGAGAAUGUAUUUUAUUUAGUUAUUAUGUUAAUGAUUUCUCACCAUUGGCUAUGCACUUUCUACUGACUACGUUCAUCAUUGUACAUUUCCUAACAUACAGUACUGUACUGCACUAUGGACAGCUGCCAGACAUGUCGGCAGAUGAUGUCUUUCUUCUUGCUAACUUAAUAUAUAUCUUCUGCCCGUAUUCCUCCUACGGAUAGCUUAAUAACUCUGUAACGCCAUCAUUGUUUCUCUUGCAGUAAUUCGGCCUCUUAGCAUGUCUCAAAGUUUUGACUUGUCAGAUGUGUCCAGCCCUGAUGGCCGCAGGAAGACUACUAGCACCAUGACCCUCAGCAGUCUGUCCAAUGGGAGUCCAGGGACACCAGGGGGUGGAGCCCAGGCCUUAUGUCAGAGGAAGAGGCUGAAAGCGCCUACCCUGUCAGAACUGGACAGCUCCGACUCUGACGAUGACAUCACCAUUGGGGGUCGAAGGUCAGCCAGUAGCUCCAGUGUCUCUACAUCGGUGGUAGAUGACACAUCUCCAGAGUCUGUACUGGGCAGGAAGAGUGAGUUGACCAGAAGGCCAGACUUAGGGUUGGGGUUAGGGUUCAACCAGGGUGUGGACAUGAAGCUAGGGUUUAUUUAUUUUGUGGUAUCCAAUUGGUAGUUACAGUCUUGUCUCAUCGCUGCAACUCUUGUACGGACUCGGGAGAGGCGAAAGUCGAGAGCCGUGUGUCCUCCGAAACACAACCGAGCCAAGCCUCACUGCUUCUUGACACAAUGCCCGCUUAACCUGGAAGCCAGCCUCACCAAUGUGUUGGAGGAUCACCUGGCGGCCGU
rnacentral:lncRNA from 1 species